CUACAGUCUAGGAAGCUUCCAAUUUGCCUUCUUCACUAGUAACCAAGGCUGUAAUCCAGUUCCUGCAUAUUUCCCAGUUAAAAUUAUGCUAUGGCUUAGAAAGCUUCCAAUUCAAAAUCUCUUCUGUGGAUAACAGGAGUGAAGAAUAGGAAGAAAGGGGAGGACAGCUCCUCCCAUCACAGGCCCAGAGACUUAGGAAGAACAAAUGGUUUGGGGGACCAGGCCCAGGGCCCCACUGCCAUGCAGCCUCAGGACACUCUUGGGAGAGAACUGCUUAAGGCUGUAGAAAAACCUGAAAUUCCAACCCAGCCUUUUGUUUGCCUGGGAUUAUAGCCCAGUUCUUACAAGCAGAGAAGCCUAGAACACUAACCCAGCUUCGAGAGUAUACUCAGAAUCUCAAGGAUCAUAAUCUGUGCUGCCCAUUCUUCAACAGACUGUCAUCUGGAGCCCUGGAUUGGAUCGGGAGUCAGGCUCACCAGUGGAGCCCCAGUCAGUCAGUCAGUCAGGAGUGAAGAUGAAAGCUUCAAAGGUGGGCAUCUGGGGUCCUGGGUGAGAGGCCUGGGGAUCCAAUGAUGACUCUGAUCCUGUCUGAGUCGUGACACCAUACCUGUUAAAGAAAAAAAUUAUUCUGAUGCUUGUUCAGACUUGAAUACAGUCCUGCAAAGAAGACUGUAUGCAAGACUAUUCCAAUAGGUGUAUCAGCGGUAGGAGGGACUCAGGAAAGAAGCACACAGAAGGUUGAGCCCAGUUGAGAAGAAGGCUCAGACUGUCAAGGAGAUAGUCUUUUUCAGUGCCUGUGCCUUUUAGUGCUUGGGUUGUUUGGAUCGCAAAGUCAGAUUCUGAAAAACUGCUGACGGGUUUCAUGAAAAUAAAAUUUAAUUUAUGCUAAAAAAUAUUAGUAGGAGACUCACUCUGUCUCCUGCUCAUUUUUGUAGUAUCUCAUAUGGAGGCCUGGGGGACCUCAGUGGGUUAUAGACUCGGGGAUUCUGUCUGCCAUCAUUAUUGUAAGGGCAGGGAGAACAGUGCUGAGACGCAGAGGCAUCAAGUCUUAUAGCUGCAAAGAUCUUAGUAUACUGGUUCUCAAACUUUAAUGUACAUAGAAAUGCUAGGGGC
rnacentral:lncRNA from 1 species